GGGGAAUAUUGGGCAAUGGGCGAAAGCCUGACCCAGCAACGCCGCGUGAAGGAAGAAGGUCUUCGGAUUGUAAACUUCUUUGAUCAGGGACGAAUAAAUGACGGUACCUGAAGAACAAGCCACGGCUAACUACGUGCCAGCAGCCGCGGUAAUACGUAGGUGGCAAGCGUUAUCCGGAUUUACUGGGUGUAAAGGGCGUGUAGGCGGCUCUGCAAGUCAGAUGUGAAAUUCCCAGGCUUAACCUGGGCGCUGCAUCUGAAACUGUGGAACUUGAGUACUGGAGAGGAUAGUGGAAUUCCUAGUGUAGCGGUAAAAUGCGUAGAUAUUAGGAGGAACACCAGUGGCGAAGGCGGCUAUCUGGACAGUAACUGACGCUGAGGCGCGAAAGCGUGGGGAGCAAAC
rnacentral:rRNA from 1 species